ensembl:lncRNA
GGAGGAGAUAGGGGAGGAGAUAGGGGGAGGAGAUAGGGGGAGGAGAUAGGGGGAGGCAGGGGGAGGAGAUAGGGGAGGAGAUAGGGGGAGGAGAUAGGGGAGGAGAUAGGGGGAGGCAGGGAGGAGAUAGGGGAGGAGAUAGGGGGCAGGGGGAGGAGAUAUGGGAGGAGAUAGGGGAGGAGAUAGGGGGAGGCAGGGAGGAGAUAGGGGGAGACAGGGGAGGGAGAUAGUGGGAGGCAUGGGGAGGAGAUAGUGGGAGGCAGGGGGAGGAGAUAGUGGGAGGCAGGGGAGGAGAUAGUGGGAGGCAGGGGGAGGAGAUAGUGGGAGGCAGGGGGAGGA